UAUUAAAUGUCACACGAGCACAUAAGCAGCAGAUUAAUUACGGUAAUCUAAGUUCAAUUGAAAAUCCCCACAUGUAAUCUGCGUCAGUUGCUAAUUAAGCCAGAACAAGAUCAUGUGUACAAGAGAGAGAGAUACAAAAAAGAGAGGUACGUUUGCCAUUCUAAAAUGAUUGAUUCGACAGAAACCCUUUGCCACUCCACCACUGUGUAAGUUAUGCUCUCAGUUAUCAAAUGGAAAUCAUCCUACUGGCAGGUUAUAAAUUCACGAAAAUCCCACGACGCCAAUGUCAAUAUUUAUGAAUGCUCCGGGGGAAUUUCGCAGUCAAGGGUAACAUUUUGUCAAGACUCCCCACAUAAUUCGGCGGUUUCAAGGGGCGUUUUAAAAAAAUUGCAAACAUUUGCCAGAUGAUGUUUUCGUUUUUUUUCACUAUGCAUUCGCAUUCGCCAAGUGAAAAGUUUUCAACGAGCCGUAAUUUAAGCUAGCAACCAUCUGAACGCAUACUGAAUAAAUAUGCUACGGGUAUAAAAAUAAAAGUUGGCCAAAACACAUACCUACGCAAAAGUUUACCGUGGAGAUUGGCCAGUUAUGUAUGGGACUAUUAGUUGAAACAAUGUGAUAAAGGGAUUAUAUAGGAUUAGGAGCAUGUUUAGACAGUAAUCAACCCGAAACCACUGUGCCAUUGUGUCACUCCAUGAAAUGCAAAUCCCAAUGACGGUAUAUUUAUGAUAAAUGUGCGAAAGAGAGGCGAUACGAGCAGCCGAAAGAGAUAGAGAGACAGUCGUCCGAAAGCGCUCGUGUUUUUUCUAUCUCACUUACAUCUACCCCAAAAAUUGUUGAGCGGAAUAUGGCACAUACAUAUAUGUAUAUAUAUUUUUAUAGCCUCCACAAACAUACUGUAGAAAUUAAAUUUCGUUUUUACUGUGCAAACAUUAGAUAAUCAUCAUCACCAUCACCAUCGUCAUCUGCAUCUGAGUGGGCGUAUUUAUGCGAGGA